rnacentral:rRNA from 1 species
UACGUAGGGGGCAAGCGUUGUCCGGAAUCAUUGGGCGUAAAGAGCGUGUAGGCGGUCCGAUAAGUCCGCUCUGAAAGCCCGGGGCUCAACCCCGGGAGGCGGGCGGAUACUGUCGGGCUAGAGUCCGGAAGAGGAGAGUGGAAUUCCUGGUGUAGCGGUGAAAUGCGCAGAUAUCAGGAAGAACACCCGUGGCGAAGGCGGCUCUCUGGGACGGUACUGACGCUGAGACGCGAAAGCGUGGGGAGCGAACAGG